rnacentral:lncRNA from 1 species
CUUCAUGCACCAGAAGGUGACGUCCGUGUGGCAGAGCGAGGUGCAGAUGAUCCUGACGCGGACCUCGUGCGCCCGCGGCGGCGCCACCUCCACCUCCUCCAUCUCCAGCGGCCGCCCCGGCGCCUUGCUCACCGCCGCUGCGCGACGAUCACAGCUAGGGCGCUGUUCAUACAACUAGUACAAGGCAGGAAGGAACGAAGCAGGAGAGAGAGACGGAGGUGCGCGCGGCCGGGGAGGAAGGUGCAGUGCACGCACCACACAUACCUCUGCAUCUGAUGGGCUUCGCGGCGCUCUGCUCCAUCGCCGCCGCCACGGCCACCACCCGGUCAGAGGACGCCACAGCUCUCGCUCGCUCGAGGUGCGAGUGCGAUGCGAUGAUGUCCUGUGAAGCUGUGGCAAACAGCAGGCGUGUCAAGUGGGGGUAAAGCAAAACGUAAUUUUCUACUAUCUUCUAUAAUAAUGAAGGACGAAAUUGGUUAGGUAGGUUUUUGUCUGCUCAGCUAGCUUCAGAAAUCUCAUGUGGCUCAACAGUAGCUGCGGGCUGCGGGUAGUGCCCUCACCGGCCUGCCCACGAUAUAGGUCACCGAGCUGUCAUCACCGCUAAAGAAAAAGAGCAUUGUGUUGUGGGUCUGCUUGCUUGGGUGCCAAAAACAUCAAAGGUUGAGUGCCAUAAACCUAUCAUAUUAGGACUUUAGGAGAGAUGAUGUAGUUCCAUGAUUUUGCUUGACAACUUUUGAUUUUGCUUGAUAAGGUUGAGCUGUCAUUACCGCUAAAGAAAGAGAGCAUUGUGGGUCCAUGAUUUUGCCAUAACUAUUGGUGAUGCUCUCCCAUGAUUUUGCUUGACAGCCUUUGAUUUUAGCUUGGGGAUCUGAUAUAGAGAUGCUCUUAGGACAAAAAAUGUAGAAAUGUAAUUGGUUGAGUGCCACGACAUAGUAGUGAGCAUUUUCUUUUCCUCUUAUGAGGCUGAUUGAAGAAGCUUCUAGUGGUUUUGCCAUGACUUUGGCCAUAAAAUUGAUGUGCCAUUUUUUUGGUAAUGAAUCAAUCAAUACCCAAAGUUUAUAGGUUUGUGUUUUAGUCCUUGUUUUUACUCCAGAUACUUUAUGGGUUUUAAUUUUGCACGUUUAUACAUAUGCAUGCUCUUUCAACAUUAUGUAAACUUGGUUCAACAAUAUGUGAAGCCACAACAUUUCAACACAACAUUAUGCGUGGAAAUGUUCAUUUUAAAACCUAUUUCGUCGCCACUUACAUACAUAGAUACAUAGAGUAGCAAAUUGGAGUCACGACAACAAGAUCAUUGCUGUCCACACAACACAAGUGCGCGUACGACGAUGUCCUGGCAGUCAGUCCUGCGUGCGCGCCGGCGGCACGCGGCAUCACGCGCCGUCGUUCUCCUUGGCGCCGUAGUCGUCGUCCAUCCAGAUGAUGCAGCGGAUGCACUUCCCUUGGGUGAGCAGGUCGAACGCGCGGUUUAUCUCCUGGAAACCCAUCUGGUGCGUGAUGAAGUCGUCCAGCUCCAGCUCCUGGAAAAAAAUGCAUGUCAUUCCUCCAGGCAAUCACAAUAAGGCAUGCAUGGAUCGACGACGAUGGAGCUCAUUCAUGAGCUCACAGCAUGCAGAUCCUGCGGAUGAUAUGAUCACCUUGUCUAGGUACUUGUGUGCCAGCACGGGGAUGUCGUCCUUGGGCUUGAUCCCACCGAAGAGCGAGCCGGUGACCGACCGCCCCCGCAUGAUGUCGAACGACGGCACGCUGAUCGGCGCCAAGCUGCCGUCGACGCCGAGAACGACCGUCUUCCCCCAGCCCUGCACACAACAAGAUUCAACGGUGGGCAGUGUUUUUUUUUUUCUGACACUCGUUAAAGAGAUCUUUUUGCCGAGUAUUUUUUAAAAAGCCUUUCUAUCCGGUGGUUUUUUUGUCGAAGUGUUUUUUUUUUUACUUAGAAAAAAACUUCUUUGCCGAGUGUUAAAAAAACACACUUGGCAAAGCCGAUUUCGUUAGUGCAGGCGUGCUGUGACGACCGUGCGGCCGUCCGUACCGUUCGUGAGCUUUUGAAUGCUUCCGCCAUGACUGAAACUGAACCGAUGCACUCGAAGCAGUAGUCGGCGCCUUCGCCGCCGGUCAUCUCCUUGAUGACCUGGUCGUCGUCGUGUACAUGCACCAUCGUAGGUGAGCUUGGUUGCCAGCCACAUACGUAGGUAUAUAUAUGCAUCGAAAAACAUAUAUACACACACAGGGAAAUUGCAUUGCAUUUUCAUUCAGACCUCGCUCACGGCGGUCUUCUCCGCGAUAUCAUUUGGAUUGACGAAGUCGGUGAUCCCCAUCUUCUUGCCUGCACAGGUGCAUGCGAAACAAACAACCACUCGAUCAGUGACAGUAGUAUAUAUGACCUGCCACUCACUACAAGUACUUUUACAAUUUUACCAGCUGAAGAAAAGCAAUUGGCAUACCGAUCUCGAACUUGUCAGGAUUCACGUCUACCCCGAUGAUCCUCUUAGCUCCUCGCAUCUUGGCCCCUUGCGCUACCUACACAGUUCAUUGGUUCAGGCAUCGUCCGGUCGCUAUCCAGUUCAUAUAUUGGAUGAUCCAUCCCAGUCAACGGACGGAUCAUCACGCAACAUCAGAUUAUGAGAUAUACAAAAUGAACACGUGUGGUGUGUGUCGUCGUUCCAAAACUUGUAGACAACGACAAUUCGAUGUUUGUGUGUGUUAAUUAUAAUUUCCGUUGGUGUUGGUCUUGGCGUAUCGCACGGAGAGCGACACAACAGCUAUUCAGCUAACGGAGCACAUCAACAAAACAUCAGUUGGGGCUGUCGUCGUCGUCGUUACCGCUAACCCAACAGCUCCUAGUCCAAAGACGGCUACGGUGGAGCCGGGCUCCACCGCCGCAACCUUCCAAGUCGCACCAACUCCUGCACAUGCAUAUGGAUGCAGAUGCAGCACGGCAUCGUCAGCCGGGUGAUGACGCGAACAGACAACGAUCGACCCACGAAAUCCGGCAAUGUGUGUACGUGCGCGCGCGUACCGGUGGUGACGCCGCAGCUGAGCAGGCACGCCUUCUCCGGCGGCAGCGCGGGGGCGGGGCCGACGACGUCGAGCUUGACGAGGUGCGCGACGUCCACCACCGUGUACUCGGCGAAGCUGGAGACGCACAGGAAGCUGUGGACGGGCUCGCCAGUGGCGGCGAGCGAGAAGCGCGUGGUGCCGUCCCGCGGCAUGACGCCGGGGCGGUACGGCAGCGCGGAGCAGAUGUUGCUGCGGGCGGAGACGCAGUCGGCGCACUCCCCGCACUGCGGCAGGAACACCGGCACCACCGCGUCGCCCACGCCCACUUCGUGCACAUGGUCCCCCACGCUCUCCACCACACUAGUGCACAUGAGUUGUUCAGUUGACCAUCGUUGCGUGCGCCUUGGAAGCAGGGAGCAUAUAUAAUGAUGUCUAUCUCAUCCACGCUAACUUAUCUUAUCCUAACCCACUCUUUAUCUUACCUCCUAAUAAAAUAUAAAAUGAGGUUUGACCUACGUGAACAUUUUGAUAACCAAUUUAUUUUAUACUCUCUUAGUCUCCGAAUAAGUCAAUUUCUGACUAACUUUUUAGAAAAAAGUAGAACAUGUAUAUGAUAUAAACUGAACCUAUUAUAAAAAUAUAUUUGAUGGUAUAUAGUAUAUAUGUAAUGAUACUAGUUUGACGUUAUAAAUCUUUACAGAUUUUGCUAGAAAUUGGUCAAAGUUUUAAAAACUUAGCUUAAACAACUUUAGAAAUCUAUUUAUUCAGAGAUAGAGAGGAUGUUGACUAUUCUUUUCUUCUUUGUACUUGCGAUCAAGCGAUGUUGGCUAUUGGAGUACAUAUAAAGCAUGCGUUCAUGUAUGUGUCACUAUGAUUUCAAUAUCCUGGAAGCACUUUUUCUUUUACCCGAUUGCUUCAUGGCCCAGGAUGGAUGGAAACAUGGCCGGAAAAUCCUGAAAAAAGAAUAAAAAUUGUAUAUAUAUUUACGGAAAUACGUGAAUUUAUAGAAAAUAAAUAAUUCGGUGCUGAAAACGUCUCUUUGAUGAAAAAGAGAGAAGCCAAAAAAAAACUAUUUAGAAGUUUUUCAAACAUCUUAGAUGAUGCAUAUUCAUAGUAUAUCCAAAUUAUAUGUUUUUGUUUUUCACAUCGCACGCCGAAUAUUUUCUGGCACACUCAGCACGCAACUCACGUCGUUUCGCAAUAAGAUAAACAAAAGUUGAUGCUUUGGAAGGGUCAGUGGCUAAAUCUGAUGCUUGGAGCAGAUUCAUUGGAGCUAUAUAUACAAAAAGGUUUAAAUGCAACUAGUAGACCUGUUCUUUUGACUUUAUUAGCCGAAUCUAACAUUCAUUCAAUAGUAUUUUUAUACAAGAAACCAGUCAACAUUAUUUUCUAUCAUAGCUUAUCAGCUAAACAAACAAUAUUGGUUUUAGUAGAGAACUGACAAACCACAUCUCUACCUUUUCUCUGUAUCUCUGUCUCUAUAACUUUUUUUUUUAAUUGUAACUGUUUUAGCUUUUUGGCUUUUAAUAAAUUUCCUGUAGGGUGCAAACCACCCUAAUUUCAUAAAAAAAAAUUAUAUCUCUACUUAGGUUACGAGCGAAAAGCUAAAAACACCCGUUGACCAUAGCUCUCUUAGUCUGAAGUCUUUAGUCACCAAAUUACCCUAGAUUCACUUCUCACAACUCUUCUCUCCUAUCAGAAUCAUUCUAUAUCGAAGAAAAUCGAAAAUUAAAACUCAAAAAAUCAUGAGAUGAAACUCUACCAAAACACUUAACCGAUUUGAUCCGUACCUUCAUGCGCCAGAAGGUGAUGUCCGUGUGGCAGAGCGAGGUGCAGAUGAUCCUGACGCGGACCUCGUGCGCCCGCGGCGGCGCCACCUCCACCUCCUCCAUCUCCAGCGGCUGCCCCGCCGCCUUGCUCACCGCCGCUGCGCGAUCGACGACGAGACGAUCACAAGGCCGCCCGCUUGGCGCUUGCAGACACUCAGACACUCAUGGAAAGGCAUGUGUGUAGAGUCAGUGUAGACGUACC